rnacentral:rRNA from 1 species
UAGGACCCUGUCCUCCUAUUUUCAGUUGGUUUUGGCAGCGCGAGGACUAGGGUAAUGAUUAAUAGGGAUAGUUGGGGGCAUUAAUAUUUAAUUGUCAGAGGUGAAAUUCUUGGAUUUAUGAAAGAUUAACUUCUGCGAAAGCAUCUGCCAAGGAUGUUUUCAUUAAUCAAGAACGAAAGUUAGGGGAUCGAAGACGAUCAGAUACCGUCGUAGUCUUAACCAUAAACGAUGCCGACCAGCGAUUAGGAGACGUUGAAUACAAAACACCACCAUCGGCGCGGUCGUCCUUGGCGUUCGUGUUCACGCACGGGCGCGAGGGCGGCUUAGCCCGAUGGCACCGGUGAAUGACUCCCCUAGCAG